rnacentral:lncRNA from 1 species
AAAGAAUAGAACAUAACAUGUAAAAGACUUAUGAAAAUUCCAUACUUCCAGAAGAAGACAAUCCAGGAUACAAUUUCAGUUCUGGAGGCUGGGAAGGCCAAGAUCAAAGAGCCAGCAGAUUCAGUGUCUGGUGAGAGCUUGCCUCCUGGUUCAUAGACUGCCAUCUUCUCACUGUGUCCUCACUCGGCAAGGAUUUGACUGCUACCACCAUCCUAUGGCAGUUGCAGGUGUACAAUAUAGUGAUUCAGCAACUCUAUACAUUACUCAGUGCUCAUCAUGGCUUGAACUCACGACCCCAAGAUCAAGACCUGAGCUGAAAUCAGGAGUCAGAUGCUUAACCAACUGAGCCCCGCAGAUCAAGAACACAAAGUCAACAUAAAGCACAGAACAUUAUUCUGGUGAGAUCAGGAUCUGCUACCUGGGCGUAAAAGGUAAAUAGUAACUUUUUAUUGCUAUUUACAGUAACUACAGUAACUAACAGUAACUAUUUAUUUAUUAUAUAAAUAUAUAUAUAUAUAUAUUUUCAGUAUACAAGUCUUCAUAUAUAUGUAUUCAGUAUACAAGUCUCUCUCUCU